GGCUGUGGCACUAGAAACAUUCUGGUGAGAAUCGUGGCUGCUUGUUGCACACGUAACCUAGAGACAAGGGACUCACUAUGUUGCCCAAGCUGGUCUCGAACCCCUAAACUCAAGUGAUCCUCCUGCCUCGGCUUCCCAAAUCCUGGGAUUAUAGAAGCCGAUAAUGGGAGAAAGAGGCAGAGAAAUGGGAAAGGAGAGUAUGGACUGGACAUUU